rnacentral:lncRNA from 1 species
UAGGGUGCGGUUUAGGGUUUAGAGUUUAGACAUUGAUCCCAAUGUUUUACGCAUGUACGGACAUUUUAUGAUGAAACUCGUAUAUUUACCUCAUCUUGGAAUUCGACGGAAAUGGAGUAAAUGUAUUUGUAUCUGAAACGCCAACCAAAUGGUUGUUUUUCCUAACCACAGACGGCCAAUUACAUGUCUCAGCUAGCUGAUGCAUUGAUGUACUGUCACGCGCGGAAAGUAAUCUACCGAGAUAUUAAGCCAGAAAAUAUUCUAUUAGGGAUUCGUAGAGAAAUUAAAAUAGCCGAUUUUGGUUGGUCCGUACAUGCUCCUUCGUCAAGCCCCCGAAAUGGUAGAAGGGCGCUCUCAUGACGAACGUGUAGAUUUGUGGAUUCUUGGUAUUCUUUGGUACGAAUUCUUAGUGGGAUCACCCCCUUUUGAAGAGGAAAAGCGAGAUCUCACUUACCGCCGUAUUUUCAACUAUUAAUUUUAUCGCAUAAUUUGUCAAUGUGAGAGGCAUUCUAAGCGUUUACAUUUUCCAUGCCAUGAAUUCGUAUGGUAGAGUUGACUUAAAAUUUCCAGCACAUCUCUCUACUGAGCGAAAGACUAGAUUACUAAUUUACUCAAACCACGAGCAGUAACCAGGGGUCGUAUCCCUCUAAGAAAAUUACUUGAACAUAGGUGGAUUCUACAACACCUUCCAGACGAAGUUCGAUCCAGGUUAAUUACCGACGUUCCAGAUAAUGCAACCCACCAAAGCAUAAACUUUGAUAUUUAAUGGCAAUCUACUAACCAUAAAUUUUUAAAGUAAAAUUUUCAAUUUGUAACUUCGAUUCCCGAUUGCUUUUAUCUCUUCUCUCAUUUAUGUAAUACAAUAAAUAAUUUUCAUAAA